CUCAAGUCUAGUUCAGUGUCUUGAGGAUGAGGAGUGUUUGGAGUCUGAAGCUGAAGCAGAUGAUGUCACUGUUGGAGCAUGAACUAAACCAAAGUAAUCAGUUAAUGUCAAUGCAUCAUACCAUCAGCGAGAAGAAGGAUGUGAACUACCGGACUGAUGAUGAAGUAUAUAACAAUUUGGUGGUGUGGAGACAAAGCUGCAUCGCACAAUUAAUGAGGUUGACAGAGAAACUGAUAGUAUCAAGAAUGAGAUAAAUCACCACACUGAGUAUGGUCAUCAGGGAACCAAGCAGGCUGUGGACUGUGGUGCCAGGGGUACUCAUUGGUUGCAACUCCGGCCAGAAGUCCAACGAGAUGGCUGAGAUUAUUGCUGCAGUUUAAGUGAGAGGAGAGCACCAGGGUUUGAGUCUCUAACUGGAAUCUGGAUGAAGCUGUUCAUGCAUCAACCAAUAACUGAGUUUGUGCUGCUGGAAUUGGAUUUGAAAUCUCAACAAUCUCAACUGAGGUCAAUGAUGCAGACAUCUCUGAUAUUACAGUAACAGUGAAGGCGUACCAUGGACCCCCAAAGUACUCCACAGCCAUCGCUCAGAAAACUACUGUAGCUGAGAAGGCCACUGCAGCAACAGGAUCCUAACUAUCUCAACCAAAGUUGAGGAUGCAGUCACCUCUGAUAUUACAGUAGCAGUGAAGCAAGUAACCAAUAACAAGGCAAACCAGACUUAAUGAAAUCAGCAUAAGAACUGUCAUUGUCACUGUGGGCGUCGGGGACCCGACUGUUGCAGCAAAGUCAAUAAUGUCAAGAUGUCUGUAUAAACAUUCUCAGGUUGGUCGCAAUUUAAACAAAGUUCAUUCAUUCAACAGUUUUCUUUUAUUUAACCCUGUUGGGUUUCUUUACCAGUUUGUUUGAAGUAGCGAUAACUUAUUGCUGUGCCGAAAU